GACGAACGCUGGCGGCGUGCCUAAUACAUGCAAGUCGAGCGGCAGCACGGUCUUCGGACUGGUGGCGAGCGGCGGACGGCUGAGUAACGCGUAGGAACGUACCCCAAAGUGAGGGAUAACUGCUCGAAAGAGUAGCUAAUACCGCAUGUGAUCUAAGGAUUAAAGCUUCGGCGCUUUGGGAACGGUCUGCGUCCGAUUAGCUAGUUGGUGAGGUAAAGGCUCACCAAGGCGACGAUCGGUAGCUGGUCUGAGAGGAUGAUCAGCCAGACUGGGACUGAGACACGGCCCAGACUCCUACGGGAGGCAGCAGUAGGGAAUUUUCCACAAUGGGCGAAAGCCUGAUGGAGCAACGCCGCGUGCAGGAUGAAUGCCUUAGGGUUGUAAACUGCUUUUAUAUGUGACGAAUAUGACGGUAGCAUAUGAAUAAGGAUCGGCUAACUCCGUGCCAGCCGCCGCAGUAA
rnacentral:rRNA from 1 species